GACGAACGCUGGCGGCGUGCUUAACACAUGCAAGUCGAACGGAAAGGCCCUGCUUUUGUGGGGUGCUCGAGUGGCGAACGGGUGAGUAACACGUGAGUAACCUGCCCUUGACUUUGGGAUAACUUCAGGAAACUGGGGCUAAUACCGGAUAGGAGCUCCUGCUGCAUGGUGGGGGUUGGAAAGUUUCGGCGGUUGGGGUUGGACUCGCGGCUUAUCAGCUUGUUGGUGGGGUAGUGGCUUACCAAGGCUUUGACGGGUAGCCGGCCUGAGAGGGUGACCGGCCACAUGGGGACUGAGAUACGGCCCAGACUCCUACGGGGGGCAGCAGUGGGGAAUAUUGCACAAUGGGCGGAAGCCUGAUGCGGCAACGCCGCGUGCGGGAUGACGGCCUUCGGGUUGUAAACCGCUUUCGCCUGUGACGAAGCGUGAGUGACGGUAAUGGGUAAAGAAGCACCGGCUAACUACGUG
rnacentral:rRNA from 1 species